ACGGCAGCACGGGUGCUUGCACCUGGUGGCGAGUGGCGAACGGGUGAGUAAUGCGUCGGAACGUACCGAGUAAUGGGGGAUAACGCAGCGAAAGUUGUGCUAAUACCGCAUACGCCCUGAGGGGGAAAGUGGGGGACCGCAAGGCCUCACGUUAUUCGAGCGGCCGACGUCUGAUUAGCUAGUUGGUGGGGUAAAGGCCUACCAAGGCGACGAUCAGUAGCGGGUCUGAGAGGAUGAUCCGCCACACUGGGACUGAGACACGGCCCAGACUCCUACGGGAGGCAGCAGUGGGGAAUUUUGGACAAUGGGGGCAACCCUGAUCCAGCCAUUCCGCGUGAGUGAAGAAGGCCUUCGGGUUGUAAAGCUCUUUCAGCUGGAACGAAACGGUACGCGCUAACAUCGUGUGCUAAUGACGGUACCGGCAGAAGAAGCACCGGCUAACUACGUGCCAGCAGCCGCGGUAAUACGUAGGGUGCGAGCGUUAAUCGGAACUACUGGGCGUAAAGCGUGCGCAGGCGGAUUGUUAAGCAAGACGUGAAAUCCCCGGGCUUAACCUGGGAAUGGCGUUUUGAACUGGCAGUCUAGAGUGCGUCAGAGGGGGGUGGAAUUCCACGUGUAGCAGUGAGAUGCGUAGAGAUGUGGAGGAACACCGAUGGCGAAAGCAGCCCCCUGGGAUGACACUGACGCUCAUGUA
rnacentral:rRNA from 1 species